UACAGGGGGUGCUAGCGUUGUUCGGAAUUACUGGGCGUAAAGGGCGCGUAGGCGGACAUUUAAGUCAGGGGUGAAAUCCCAGAGCUCAACUCUGGAACUGCCUUUGAUACUGGGUGUCUUGAGUGUGAGAGAGGUAUGUGGAACUCCGAGUGUAGAGGUGAAAUUCGUAGAUAUUCGGAAGAACACCAGUGGCGAAGGCGACAUACUGGCUCAUUACUGACGCUGAGGCGCGAAAGCGUGGGGAGCAAACAGG
rnacentral:rRNA from 1 species